AUGCCACCAGGAACCACCUCCAGCCCCCGCAUCGGGGCUUAUCCUACCGGCGUGGGAGGGAACGGGCCGGAGGGAACAACACAGCCGGAGGGGGAAGCAGCACCCUGGGGACGGGAUGGAGGGGAAAGGGCCGAUUCCCACGCCAAAGCAGCGUGCCAGCUCUGGGCCAGCGCCUCCUGGUCGCGCACGGCCACGCUUGCCGAGACCGGGAUUUCGAGGGGAUGCUGGCGGGCCGGGGGCGCGUGGGGCACAGGGCUGCGGGGCCGGAGCCCGAGCGCCGGGGCUGCCGGAGGGGGAGGCGGGCAGCCGUGGCCUGCUCAGAAAGCAGCUGGGAGGAAGGAAGAAGCGGCUAAAAUAAGCAGGUGGGUGGACAGGGAGGAAAUAAUAGCGAGACUGAUAACGCAGGGGCUGGAGAGAAGGGGGAAAAAAAUCUGCCGCGGGGGAAAAGAGACAAAGCGUCCUCAGGAAAUAGGAGCGAGCCCCGAGAAGGAGGAGGAAGGUCACCCUGGGGCGCCUGGCAGCAAGGAGGACGUCCCGAGCCGGGGAGGGGGGGAACCGGGGCCGCCUGCGGGGGCAGAGGUGCCCGGAGCACCCUCCAAGCGGGGACAGGAGGCCGCGGGGCCGAGCGGGUGGGUGGACGCCGGGGAGCGGCCCCUCUCUGCUGCGGCGAGGGAGAGGAGGGCGCAAAAGCCACCGGAGGAGAAAGGGGCGAUUCGGGGUGGACCGGAGGGAGACGGAGAGCGAAGCCGGGGCCCGGGAGCAGGGGGCCGGCAGGGAGGGCGAGCGAGACCCCUGGGGAGCCCCGCGGGCAGAAGCCCCCCGGGGGCGCGGGAGCCCUGGGAGCAGCGCCGGAGCAGGAAGCGGCCGUGCGGCCGGACAGCAGGAUGCGCAGGGCCGGCCCGUCUCUGCCCUGGGAGUUUCCACAUUAACCACACGCUGUUUGCGUUGGAGCUUUUUCCCCUCGGCAGGGCCGGUGCUGCCGGGGGGUUAUUUCCUGCCCUUUUCGCUCUCCCCCCGCCGCCCGCCCCCCACCUUCCCCGGCCUGCAGAAGCCUGUCUGCUUCCUCUCUUACGCCCCGGGGGCUUUCCAUGCUGCCAGAAAAUAAAUCUCAUGCUAUUUUUAACAGCGGGGAAAACGCGAAGGUCUCCCGGAGCCCGGGUCUGCGGCGGUGAUAGCUGCAGGCCGGCUCCCCCGGUGAGAUGA
rnacentral:lncRNA from 1 species